rnacentral:sRNA from 2 species
GAAAUUUAUAUAUUCAAUGUUUAUUAUUUUCAUUACUAUUCCGUUUAAAAUAUUAUACAAUACUUUAUCACCCAAUCCCUUCAGCACAUUCCCAUCACUAGAGUGCCACAUGACCACACCUAUUUAAGUAGUGCUGCGCCCGCUAGAUAGUUACAAUAAACCAACCUUCCACCUCCAUCAUCUGCUUUAUUUAAACCGAAAAAUAUAUUAGGAGCAAACACAUUGUUAAAUAGUCACUAGAUAUGUAUAUCGGGAUCUCCAUGAAACAUGUAGCUGAGUGCCAGACGGAGCAAUAAGCUCAGCAAAGGCCUGGUUUUAGAUAUACUAGGAAGCAAUGCACCUUGGAUUUUCUAAGUAUAUUGUAAAACAGAUUGAAUUUGCAUCUACAAUAGUUGAAUUUGAUGAUGAUAUUUAAAGAAUAUAUAUAUUCAAGGGGAAAACCCCCUGAAACCCCC